rnacentral:rRNA from 1 species
CCUACGGGUGGCAGCAGUGAGGAAUAUUGGUCAAUGGGCGAGAGCCUGAACCAGCCAAGUCGCGUGAGGGAUGAAGGAUCUAUGGUUCGUAAACUUCUUUUAUAAGGGAAUAAAGUUCGGUACGUGUCCCGCUUCGCAUGUACCUUAUGAAUAAGGAUCGGCUAACUCCGUGCCAGCAGCCGCGGUAAUACGGAGGAUCCGAGCGUUAUCCGGAUUUAUUGGGUUUAAAGGGUGCGUAGGCGGCCUCUUAAGUCAGUUGUGAAAGUUUGUGGCUCAACCAUAGAAUUGCCGUUGAUACUGGGUGGCUUGAGUACAGUAGAGGUAGGCGGAAUGCGUGGUGUAGCGGUGAAAUGCAUAGAUAUCACGAAGAACUCCGAUUGCGAAGGCAGCCUAC